GAUGAACGCUGGCGGCGUGCCUAAUACAUGCAAGUCGAGCGAACGGACGAGAAGCUUGCUUCUCUGAUGUUAGCGGCGGACGGGUGAGUAACACGUGGAUAACCUACCUAUAAGACUGGGAUAACUUCGGGAAACCGGAGCUAAUACCGGAUGAUAUUUUGAACCGCAUGGUUCAAAAGUGAAAGACGGUCUUGCUGUCACUUAUAGAUGGAUCCGCGCUGCAUUAGCUAGUUGGUAAGGUAACGGCUUACCAAGGCAACGAUGCAUAGCCGACCUGAGAGGGUGAUCGGCCACACUGGAACUGAGAACCGGUCCAGACUCCUACGGGAGGCAGCAGUAGGGAAUCUUCCGCAAUGGGCGAAAGCCUGACGGAGCAACGCCGCGUGAGUGAUGAAGGUCUUCGGAUCGUAAAACUCUGUUAUUAGGGAAGAACAUAUGUGUAAGUAACUGUGCACAUCUUGACGGUACCUAAUCAGAAAGCCACGGCUAACUACGUG
rnacentral:rRNA from 1 species